CAAUGGCAUCUUUAAUUCAAAAUUAUAUUUUCCUUACAUUUUCACGUUCUCUCUCUUCCUCUUCUUCUUCCUUCUUUCUUUUGAUACCUCUCUCUUUCUCUGCUAUUUUCUGCUUACUUCUCUCAAUCUUCUUCUUUCUUCUCUUUUGUGUUGCCUCACUCUUUCUUUUCUUCUUUCUUCCUAUUUUUCUGUCUUCUCUUUCAUCUCAUCUAGGGUUUGGUUUCAUCUCAUCUUCGACAUGGCUAAAAUCUAAUUCGUCCUUCUAAUGAGUUCGUUGAAGUUCGAAUCCAUCACAAAUGGGUUGUUGUCAACAAGAACAAGGAACGCGUCAGGAUGGUUGUUGUUCAUAGAGAUAUUUUAGGGUUUCAUACUCAGAUUCAAUUUUCGAGUGGUAUGUCUGUCUGAACGAUAAUUCAAACUGCAGCCUAAUAUCGUGGAGCGUCAUCUCCAUGAUCUCUCACAAAGAUACAGAGAAAUGUUAUCGGUUGAUCUAACUCGCGAACAAAGAUUCAUUGCACUGGUGAUGUGUGUUACACGUCAUCAAAAGUUAUAGGAUUUGUAGAUCCUGGUAUGGUCUAUGAUGAGAUAAAAUUGAGUGGUUUUAAAGUUCAGAAUACAUCUCCUGGUGUUCUAGGUCACUGUUUCAUUGAGGUAUAUUAUAUUUCUAGGUCACUGUUCUAUACACCGUAUUAUAUUUUUAGUUUGUUUUAUAUAUACUAAGAGAAGGUACUUGAAGAUACACAAUUAUGAGAAGGUUAAAUGUAAGACUUUUCAUUAGAGUUGAAGCAUAAUGAGAUUUUGAGCUUUUUAUUUAAACUUUUGGUGAGAUAAUUUGGUGUAACAUUGUUGAAAUUGUUUCACAUGGUUAUGAUGUGACCAUACACAUGAUUGAAGAUCACACCAUAAUUGCGAUGUGAUAUCGUUGUCAAAGCUGCUGCAACAACAAUAUUGUGGCCGCAAUAGCGGUUGUAAACCACAAUUUAAAAUCAUUUUUUUUCUAAUUUUAUGUGUUUGUUUCUGUGUGUUGUUAUGUAUCCUCUUUUUUCCAUGCAGGUGUUUAAACUGGUAUAUAAAAAUCAGCAGUACACGAAAAUUUGUUGAUUUUGUGAUAUCUAAGCUAUAUGUUUUAUUGCUUUCUUCUGGUUACAUGCCUGCCUUCCCUAUAUGUGUUGCCCAGUGUGUCAUUUCAUUUCAGUUUGUCUCAAUUUUUCAUCUGAUGACCUUCAUUUUGCUAUGAUUAACACAAAUUUCAAGAGCACAAGUUUUAACUCCACCAAAUUGCUUCCCUAUAUAUGGUUCUAAUGCAAGAUUUGAGGUAUACAUAAAGUAAUUACUUGAUUGUUAUUUAUUUGAUUUUUUAUCUUUGAUCACACCAGUAUUCCACUUGAUUGAUUAUAGAUAAGGAUGAGUGAACCUAAAGUCCUAGAAUUUUCUUAUCCAAACAAGCUUAGAAUUUAAUUUACGCUUGCUAUAUAAUAUAUUUAACAAAAGUAUGAUACUGUUAAAUAAAUAUCACUACUUAUCACAAUUAGCAUAAUACUAAGUUGAAUCAUUGUACUUAAAUUUAUCAAUUAUGAUAUGCAGAUAACUCAUGGCUUAGUGGACAGAGUAAUGGAAAAGAAUGGGAUUACCUUUGUUUCACCUGGUGAUAUAUCAGGAAACCACUUUAUUCCAAUUCUAACUACGAGUUUAUGAACUCAAUGUUUAUUGAAGGAGCUGGAGUAUAUAUUUGUGAACAGCUUGAAAAUGGUUUCAAGGGAAACUAUUUUCCACCCAAAUUGGUAUAGGAAUCGACAUUGCAAUUGACGUGUCCCAGUUUCAAUUUGAUGAAAUGUUUGAAGAAGGUGGCAAUACUCUUGAAGUUGAAGAAGAGAAAUCCAAAAUUAUAAUUGAGAAAACAGUUUUUGAUCACAUCCACUGUCCAGACAGACUUUGGUCACAUCGCUUCAGUUAAUUUAUUUCAAAGAGCUUAACAGUUUUGAAUUGCUCAAUUUGUGAGCACCAUAACCUGAAGCUCCCGGGUUAGGCACCACACCAGAGAUAAAAAAGAGAAGUUGAUAGAAUAAGUUUAUUGGAAUUGACUUAAGGUUGAAGAUGCUGAAAAUGUUUGUUGAUAUGUGGGGUAACAUAGACACGUGAUGAGGUUAAUUUGGAUCUUUUGAUAUGUCAUCAAUCAAUAGAUGCUUGAUAAAGGCAAGGAUCAAAUAUACUUUUGAAAUUUACGCUCUAAAAUUAACAUGUAACAAAAUUAAUCAGUGCGCUACAUUUUGUGCUCACAAAAUUUAACCUUUUGUGUGGGAGGGUUACAUAUUUUUCUGGACCGCGAGGUUCUCAAUUUUUUAUACUGGGGUAUCAGUUCAUUUUUGUCUGUGCAUUGUUUACCUUAAAUGGUUUUCCAUUUUCUUUAGAUAUUUUACAAAUCAGUAUUAUUUAAAGUGGCAAUUUUCUCUACAAUCUUAUUAGAGAUUAUUUAAUGUGGUUUUCCAUCUAAGGAAGUUUACCCCUCAGAUCAACUAGCGGGAUACCCGUGCCUUCGCACGGGUAACGGCGUCGUACUCUCAUUUGUUUUAGAUCGUUUAUUUUAUAUAGAAAAUUAAAUAAGAUAUUUAAAUAAAAAUUAUAUGCAAAAAUAAAUAUGAAGACAGGAAGAAAGAUUGAUACAUAUAUUGGUUCCCAAUAUAUAAUAAAAAUAAAAUAAUUUUUUAAAAAAAAGAUGAUAAAUCGGUGCCUGUAAUUUAAUAUUUUG